rnacentral:rRNA from 1 species
UGGCGGACGGGUGAGUAAUGUCUGGGAAACCGCCUGAUGGAGGGGGAUAACUACUGGAAACGGUAGCUAAUACCGCAUAAUGUCGCAAGACCAAAGAGGGGGACCUUCGGGCCUCUUGCCAUCGGAUGUGCCCAGAUGGGAUUAGCUUGUUGGUGGGGUAACGGCUCACCAAGGCGACGAUCCCUAGCUGGUCUGAGAGGAUGACCAGCCACACUGGAACUGAGACACGGUCCAGACUCCUACGGGAGGCAGCAUG